rnacentral:rRNA from 1 species
UACGUAGGGUGCAAGCGUUAAUCGGAAUUACUGGGCGUAAAGCGUGCGCAGGCGGUUCGCUAAGACAGAUGUGAAAUCCCCCGGGCUUAACCUGGGAACUGCAUUUGUGACUGGCGGGCUAGAGUAUGGCAGAGGGGGGGUAGAAUUCCACGUGUAGCAGUGAAAUGCGUAGAGAUGUGGAGGAAUACCGAUGGCGAAGGCAGCCCCCUGGGCUGAGAUUGACGCUCAGGCACGAAAGCGUGGGGGAGCAAACAGG